AUUGAACGCUGGCGGCAGGCCUAACACAUGCAAGUCGAGCGAGCAGCGGACGGGUGAGUAAUGUAUGGGGAUGUGCGCGAUCUAGGGGGAUAACUACUGGAAACGUUGGCUAAUAGCGCAUACUACCGGAUGGAGCCAUAUGGGAGUAGCUAGUAGGUGGGGGAAAGGAUCACAUAGGCGACGAUCUCUAGCUGGUCUGAGAGGAUGAUCGGCCACACUGGGACUGAGACACGGCCCAGACUCCUACGGGAGGCAGCAGUGGGGAAUAUUGGGCAAUGGGCGAAAGCCUGACGGAGCAAUGCCGCGUGUAUGAAGAAGGUCUUAGGGUUGUAAAGUACUUUCAUCAGGGAGGCGUUAUCCGCAGAAGAAGCAACGGCUAACUACGUGCCAGCAGCCGCGGUAAUAC
rnacentral:rRNA from 1 species